rnacentral:rRNA from 1 species
AAUGAACGCUGGCGGCAGUCCUAACACAUGCAAGUCGAACGGAUCCUUCGGGAUUAGUGGCGGACGGGUGAGUAACGCGUGGGAACAUACCCAAAGGUACGGAAUAGCCUCGGGAAACUGGGAGUAAUACCGUAUGUGCUCGGAAGAGGAAAGAUUUAUCGCCUUUGGAUUGGCCUGCGUUGGAUUAGGUAGUUGGUCGUGUAAUGGCCUACCAAACCGACGAUCCAUAGCUGGUUUGAGAGGAGGAUCAACCACACUGGGACUGAGACACGGCCCAGACUCCUACGGGAGGCAGCAGUGGGGAAUCUUAGACAAUGGGGGAAACCCUGAUCUAGCCAUGCCGCGUGAUCGAUGAAGGCCUUAGGGUUGUAAAGAUCUUUCAGGUGGGAAGAUAAUGACUGUACCACCAGAAGAAGCCCCGGCUAACUCCGUGCCAGCCGCCGCGGUAA